GUCUUUGAAACUUCAAGGCUGCAGAAUAAUUUCCUUUGCCCAUUUUGUGCCUGCCCAGCUAUCCAGACAGAGCAGCUACCCUCAGUUCUAGCUGAUACUACAGACACUACAACAGAUCAAGAAGUAUGGCAGUGACAACUCAUUUGACAUGGUUGCAUGAAAAGAUCCUGCAAAAUCAUUUCGGAGGAAAGCGGCUUAGCCUUCUCUAUAAGGGUAGUGUCCAUGGAUUCUGUAGUGGAGAUUUGCUUGACAGAUGUUAUAAUCAAGGGCCUACUCUAACAGUGAUUUAUGGUGAACAUCGUAUUAUUGGAGCAUAUGCAGAAGAGAGUUACCAGGAAAGAAAGGCUGCCUCCAUCAUCCUUUUUGCACUUCAAGAGACUAAAAUUUCAGAAUGGAAACUAGGACUAUGUACACCAGAAAGACUGUUUUGUCAUGACAAUGUAAAAUAUAAUUCCACAACUAAUUUCCAGAUAGAGUUAAGAAAUAGAAAAGUGAUUAUGGGCUCAAAGACAACGGAAGAUCUUGGACUUGUUCAAAAUUGUACUAUUUCUAUUCAGGAUUGUGAAGUUUUUCGAUGUGAAGAUUUACUGGAUGAAAGAAAGAUAAAAGGGGCGACUGAGCUCAGGAAGAGCUUAUUGUCUGCCUUGAGAACUUAUGAACCAUAUGGAUCCCUGGUUCCACAAAUACGAAUUCUGCUGCUGGGUCCAGUUGGAGCUGGGAAGUCCAGCUUUUUCAACUCAGUGAGGUCUGUUUUCCAAGGGCAUGUAACACAUCAGGCUUUGGUGGGCACUAAUAGAACUGGGAUAUCUGAGAAGUAUAGGACAUACUCUAUUAGAGAUGGGAAAGAUGGCCAAUAUCUGCCAUUUAUUCUGUGUGACUCACUGGGGCUGGGUGAGAAAGAAGGUGGCCUGUGCAGGGAUGACAUAUUCUACAUCUUAAAUGGUAAUAUUCGUGAUAGAUACCAGUUUAAUCCCAUGGAAUCAAUCAAAUUAAGUCAUCGUGACUACAUUGAUUCCCCAUCGCUGGAGGACAGAAUUCAUUGUGUGGCAUUUGUAUUUGAUGUCAACUCUAUUGAACACUUCUCCUCUCAAAUGAUAGUAAAGAUCAGAAGACUUCGAAGGGAGUUGAUAAACGCUGGUGUGGUACACGUGGCUUUGCUCACUCAUGUGGAUAGCAUGGAUCUGAUUACAAAAGGUGACCUUAUAGAAAUAGACAGAUGUGUGCCUCUGAGGUCCAAGGUAAUGAAUGAUGCCCUUCGUAAACACAUUUUCUGGGCUAGAGGAAGUCCAAAGAAAACUUGGAUUUGCUCUUUCUGACAUCUCGGUGGUUAGCAAUUAUUCCUCUGAGUGGGAGCUGGACCCUGUAAAGGAUGUUCUGAUUCUUUCUGCUCUGAGACGAAUGCUAUGGGCUGCAGAUGACUUCUUAGAGGAUUUGCCUCUUGAGAAACAGGGAAUCAAAGAAAGGAAAUUAUCAAGUGUGCACAGGGAAGAAAAUUGAUAUGUGAAAGGUUCACAUAAAUUUCUUCAUAUCACAGAAGAUUAAAAUUCAGAAAGGAGAAAACAGACCAAAGAGAAGUAACUAAGACUGAAGGGAUGUGUUUUAUUAAUGUCUAGGAUGAAGAAAUGCAUAGAACAUUGUAGUACUUGUGAAUAACUAGAGAUAGCAUUAUUUAAAGUCAUAAUUGUGAAAAAUAAUAAUAAUUUUUCUUGGAUUUAUGUAUCUGUGAAAAAAUAAAUUUCUUAUAAAACUUGGGUCUAA